rnacentral:lncRNA from 1 species
GAGUUCGAGGCCGGCCUGGUCUACAGAGUGAGUUCCAGGACAGCCAGGGCUACACAGAGAAACCCAGUCUUGAAAAACCAAAAAAAAAAGAAAGAAAAAAAGAAAGAAAGAAAGAAAGAAAGAAAGAAAGAAAGAAAGAAAGAAAUGAAACAAUCCCAAAUGAUUGCUUGAGGUGGACCAGCAGAGAGACGUCUCUGAUGUGCUGCUGUCUAGGAUGUGGCUAUGCAGUGUCUGUGUGCACAAUAGGACUGUGGAGAAGGCAUCCUGCAGGAGUUGGACUAUAGGACUCCCAACAUUACCCAGUGCUGAAGUUUGCAGAUAACCUUGCUUUUUAUUUACCCACCAAGUAGCUGUCAAGUCCUCUGAAUAUCAAAUAUUAUACUAAAGAUAGCGCUGUGAUUUCCAAAUCCUGCAUAAAUCAAGAUCGCUGCUGUUCUAACUUUGCGAUUUGGGAAGUUUACUGAAUUCCCAUUGACUGCACUAAUUAUGAAUCUUAAGUAACUUUCCCUUUGGACCAAAGGAGUGAGUCAGCUUUGGCACCAUGGUUUAAAGUUGUAUGUAGUAUGAAUUCCUCUUCAUUUCAGCUCUUUUGACUUUCAUUCUAUAAAAACAGUGACUUAAGAGAUAGCAGUUACUGCUAGGCAUGCUGGCGCCUGCUGGCCGUCUCAGCACUUGGGAGUGUGAAUCAGGUUGGUCUAGCUCACUCUCAGCACCACCAGCAGCCUGUGCUGCAUGAAGCCUGUGCUAAACAGCCCGAGAGGAAACGAAGAUCAAUUACUAACCAGAAAUACAACUUCAAUUUGGUAGUGUGCAUGCUACUUUCAGAAAUAUUCUAGUAUUUCAGUGUUUCUAUAUUUAUACCAAGGGAUUUGCAUGCACCUGGCAUAGUUUGCCCCUUUAACAUACUAUUACGUAGAAGUAUCAAAUUUCUGAGUUCUUAUCAUUUGUUUAUUAGCAGAGUAAAACCAUUUCUAGUUUUCCACUUUGGUAGCCUUUAUAGCCAGCUUUUUGCCACAUUCUAAAAUAUUUAGCUGCCUUUUGUUGUUUCGGUUUUGUUUCAUUUUAGUGCUGGGAAUCAAAUCCAGGGCCUUCUGCAUACUAGGCAAGUCCCCUACCACUGAGCUACAUCCCUGGCCCGAGCUGAAGCUGUUCAUACGUGUCAGUGGCCGCUCAUUAGGGACCAGCAAGGGACCAGCAUGGGAAUCAGGGAAGGCUGGCUGUUUAGUAUGUGAACUGGCAUUGCGUCUGCUAUCAGGGGGGGACUACAUUGAAACAGAGCUUUGCCAAAAUUUCAAACACUUGAACAUUUGUGAAGAAAAUGGAGUUGAAUUUCAGGUCUUGCCCUUGCCAUUAAAAACAUCAGACAGGAGACUUGGUUUACUGGGUACAGAGGUACUUGACUGUUGAGUACCUGCGGCACCUGACCCUGUCACUGUGCCAACCAAAGCAGCUGCAGUGUACCAGCUAUUGACAUGAACAUGUUUACAAAGUUGAGUUUUGUCUUCAUAAAAGAAUGAUUUUUAAAAAACUUUUUACAUAGUUAUGACUCAAUGUGUUUAAAGCAUAACAAGUUAGCUUAAAUAUAUGGUCUUUACUUGAAUUUUAAUUCUUACAGAUAGCAAAUUUUGACUGUUUACAGGAAUGCUUGAAAUGAGUCAAGAGAUCUCUAAUUCUCUCUGAAGCAAAACUGAUACAGGCUUAGUGUUCGAGCCUGUGUAUUUGUGGCAUUGGAUAGGCAGUAACUCAAAACUACGUUUCGCUUACAUCUUGUUCUAUAAAGUAGUACUUUUGCGUGGAUAAGUAUUUUUAACUGAUAUUAAGAAAUCAUAUUUUUGCAUUUCAGUCAAACUAGUAAGAACAUACGUAAAAGUACAAAUGAGAUGUAAAUCUGAAAUUCAUGUUUCAUAUGAUCAAGCUGUAUUUUUAAAUUCAAAUUUAAAAUACAAUAGAGAUUCAGAAAGGUCCAUAUUUUUCUAAUGACUUCAUGCUAUAUUAUUUUCUUGAGUUACGUAAAGCAAGGAAUUGUAUUUGUAUUAAGGAGCUAAGGAAGCUGUUAGUUUAUUAUAUUUGUACAUGAUUACAGACAAGCCUAUGCCCAUUUAAAAGAAAAGAUGGAUACUAUUUAAGGUGAUAUUUAAUAUGUUUUUCUAUAAACAAGUUUGAAAUAUAGUUUGCCUUAGUUGUCUUAUCAGUAGCAUAGCCUUCUAUUUAUUUCUCAUUAUGUGAACCUGGACUAUGACCAGUGACUCUUGUCUCUGUAUUUUGGAUGGCCUAACCUACAUUACUAUGUGUGCAUUUUACAACUUUUUUUUUUCAGAAACCAUAAUUACUUUAUUAAUAAACAGAUAAAG